rnacentral:rRNA from 1 species
AGGGCGUACGGUGGAUGCCUAGGCUCUUACAGGCGAUGAAGGACGUGAUAAGCUGCGAAAAGCCGCGGGGAGGUGCAAAUGACCCUUGAUCCGCGGAUGUCCGAAUGGGAAAACCCGGCAUGCUGAAGGCAUGUCACACCGCGAAUGCGGUGAGCGAACGCGGGGAACUGAAACAUCUUAGUACCCGCAGGAAGAGAAAAUAAUAAUGAUUCCCCCAGUAGUGGCGAGCGAACGGGGAAGAGCCCAAACCCGGGAGGUUCCGGCCUCCCGGGGGUUGUAGGACUGCAUUACGGUACGGCAGCAUGCGAGGAGAACGGACUGGAACGUCCGGCCGCAGCGGGUGAAAGCCCCUUAUCCGAAGCAUACUCCGGCCAGCAGAAUCCUGAGUAGCGCGGGACACGUGAAAUCCUGUGUGAAUCCGGCGGGCCCAUCCGCCAAGGCUAAAUACUCGUAAGAGACCGAUAGCGUACCAGUACCGUGAGGGAAAGGUGAAAAGCACCGCGCGCAGCGGAGUGAAAAAGUUCCUGAAACCGUACGCCUACAAGCGGUCGGAGCAUCCAUGUGGUGUGACGGCGUGCCUUUUGCAUAAUGAACCUACGAGUUGCCGUCACCGGCAAGGUUAAGCGUCAUUAGACGUGUAGCCGAAGCGAAAGCGAGUCUGAAGAGGGCGCAUAGUCAGUGGCGGCAGACGCGAAACCGAGUGAUCUACCCUUGUCCAGGUUGAAGUCCGGGUAACACCGGAUGGAGGACCGCACCGAUAAGCGUUGAAAAGCUUCCGGAUGAGGUGAGGGUAGGAGUGAAAGGCCAAUCAAACUCGGAGAUAGCUCGUACUCCCCGAAAUGCAUUUAGGUGCAGCCUCGGCAGUUCCCUUCCAGAGGUAGAGCGACUGAUCGGAUGCGAGGGCUUCACCGCCUAUCAAGUCCGGACAAACUCCGAAUGCUGGAAGGCCAUAUGCCGUGAGUGAGGGCAUGGGUGCUAAGGUCCGUGCCCGAGAGGAGAAGAAUCCAGACCGCCGGCUAAGGUCCCGAAAUACAGGUUAAGUUAGACUAACGAAGUGCGGUCCCGAAGACAGCUAGGAUGUUGGCUUGGAAGCAGCCAUUCAUUCAAAGAGUGCGUAACAGCUCACUAGUCGAGGGACUGUGCAUGGAUAAUAAUCGGGUAUAAAACCUGUUACCGAAGCCGCGGGAUACGCAAGUAUCGGUAGGGGAGCAUUCCAUGUGCGUUGAAUGUGAAGGGUGACCUUUUCUGGAGCGCAUGGAAAAGCAAAUGUAGGUAUAAGUAACGAUAAAGAGUGUGUGAUUCACUCUCGCCGAAAGACUAAGGUUUCCCGGGCAACGUCAAUCGCCCCGGGGUCAGUCGGGUCCUAAGGAUAAGCCGAACGGCGAGGCCGAUGGCCAAACGGUUAAUAUUCCGUUACUGCCCUUGAUGGCGAUGUGGUGACGCAGCGGUGACACUUCCGCGUCCUGACGGAAGCGGACGUUUAAGGAUGUAUGCUUUGAGGAGUACAGGCAAAUCCGUACUCCGAGCUGAACUCCGAAAGUACGCGAAGCCUUCGGGCGGAGCGAUAGCGAAGGUAAUCAUGCUGCCGAGAAAACCCGCUAAGCUUAACAUCAAGGGUACCCGUACCGCAAACGGACACACGUAGUCGGGUUGAAUAUACUGAGGCGCUUGGAAGAUUCACGGUUAAGGAACUAGGCAAAUUGACCCCGUAACUUCGGGAAAAGGGGUCCUCCAGUGAUGGAGGCGCAGCGAAUAGGUCCAGGCAACUGUUUAACAAAAACACAGGGCUGUGCAAACUCGUAAGAUGAAGUAUACAGCCUGACACCUGCCCGGUGCCGGAAGGUUAAGAGGAGUGCUCACCGCAAGGGAAGGCAUGAAUUGAAGCCCCGGUAAACGGCGGCCGUAACUAUAACGGUCCUAAGGUAGCGAAAUUCCUUGUCAGGUAAGUUCUGACCCGCACGAAAGGCGUAAUGAUUUGGGCACUGUCUCGACAAUGUACCCGGCGAAAUUGUAGUACUAGUGAAGAUGCUAGUUACCUGCGACAAGACAGAAAGACCCCAUGGAGCUUUACUGCAGUUUGAUACUGGGUUUCGAUAAGUUAUGUACAGGAUAGGUGGGAGACAAAGAAAGAAAGGCGUCAGCUUUUCCGGAGUCACCGUUGGGAUACCACCCUUAAUUUGUUGGAAUUCUAACUAGUGGUCAUGAUCUGGCCAGAGGACAAUGUCAGACGGGCAGUUUGACUGGGGCGGUCGCCUCCAAAAGAGUAACGGAGGCGCCCAAAGGUUCCCUCAGUGCGGACAGAAAUCGCACGAAAGAGUGUAAAGGCAGAAGGGAGCUUAACUGGAAGAUAGACAUAUCGAGCAGAUACGAAAGUAGGGCUUAGUGAUCCGGUGGAUAUUGAAUGGAAAAGCCAUCGCUCAACGGACAAAAGUUACCCUGGGGAUAACAGGCUUAUCUCCCCCAAGAGUUCACAUCGACGGGGAGGUUUGGCACCUCGAUGUCGGCUCAUCGCAUCCUGGAGCGGAAGUACGUUCCAAGGGUUGGGCUGUUCGCCCAUUAAAGCGGUACGCGAGCUGGGUUCAGAACGU